UAACUCAGUGGUUAGAGUAUUGCUUUCAUAGGGCACUAGUGAUUGGUUCGACUCCAAU
rnacentral:tRNA from 3 species